CUGCCUGGCCUGGGUCCUGAGCAAUCUUUCCUGCCCAGCUAAAACGGCUUGCCUUCAACCAAGAGCAUGUCGGGCUGUGAUGGCCGCACUGUCCCAGGACCUGCUUCCAGCAUGUCAAACCUCUGCGUCACGUGGCCAGACCAUCAAGAGACUUGGCAUAUGUUUACAAGCAUGCCCUGCUUGCUAGACUCAGUAUGCCCAUUUUAAGGUUUUAGUCAUAAUUUUUUUUGUUUUCAUUUAUUCUAGGCUGGUGUGUAACCCAACAUUUCUCUAACAGCCUACUGCGGUGCUGUAUCGGCCAGUAACAAGAAAUUGUAUUGUGGUCGAGCUAUCAGUUUUGUAAGCAACUAAAGCAAGCAGAUUGCCAGCACAAUGUCUAGACAGCAGACCACCUUACAGUAUGUCAUAAUGUAUUCUAGGUGGAUCUUCUGUAUUGCCACUUUCUGGUCUGCAGUUCUGAAGAGUUGAUGGGUUGAGGGUUUGGCUGGGUAGGGGCCGCUUCAUUCCACAGACAGAACGGCUCAUCCUGUUUCAGCUGGUGCUGUGUUCUAUGUUCAGCCUGUGCAACACAACCUCCACAGACUGGCGCUGACUGAGAAUCCCAAUUGCAGAGAUUCUUCCUCUGCCUGUCAGACUCUGACAGAUACUCCCUUUUGGAAGUCAGGCUGGGACUGAAAGGAAAUUAACAAAAACCCCAGCUCCCAGAAUGCCAUCUGCAUAAAGCAUGAGCAAAGCGUCUUCUCAGUGUGUAAGAGCCCUUGCCUUGGAAAAGACAGAUUACUCAACAGUAACAAACCAAAAAUCAAAAGUGCCCCCAACAUCAGGAAAGAAAUGCAGCAGCACGCAUUCCUGAAAAAUAGGGAAGAGUCUUCCCUGCCCCAACCCCAACCAAAAGAGGGGCUCAAGACUUUUUUUAAUGACAGAAACACAGCACUUUAAGGAAUCAGAAGAUAACAGCGUGCCCUGAUUAUUUUAUAAACCAUUUUUAACACUUUUUUUAACUUCUCAACAACCAUUCCUUGCUUAUGCAUGUCUGUUUAUGCAUGCAUGUGUACAUACACACCCCAAGCCCUAGCAAGAUCAGUUUCUAUCUCCUAACCUGCAUUACAGACUAUGUGAGAGUUUACAGUCAUGAGUUCCUAAAUGGAGAGGAGCAGUACGCCGAAAAAGCACCCUAAACUGCUAGAAGCAGUAGACUUACUCAAUCCAUGGAGAAACAUUCAAAGCAUUAAUAACAAGAGAGCCCACAAGCAGGCUCAGCAGAUCACUAAUCCAAGCACCAGAUCUGAAGCAGAGGCCUUGGCCUACCCUUCUGUCAGUCUCCCUUGUGCUCACUUUCUUCUCGGCUGUGUUCAAAUUGUCCAUGCUGGUUCUUCAGGCACCUUCCCUAUCACAUAAUCACGUGCAUCUUAAUCUCUCUGGACAUCUGGCUACAUCUAGCUAGCUUUUAUCUCACUGUUCCCUUUCAUUCACACUAAAUCCUCUGGAGGGCCCACAAGAGGGAAGAACUUUGUAUCCUGGACUUAAUGCUGCCUACCAUUUAGUUGUGGCUUUCCACAGACCAUGACAAUAGAAGUAGUUCGAUCUUUCCUAUUGAGUCUUGCCAUUUCAUUUGCUCGUUACUUAAACAAAAUAUUUUCCAGGAUGCUCUGGGAAUAGCAUCUUCCAACCGUAAUCGGCUCGUUAACCAGACUGAGCAGCUUUCACAAUAUCUGACUACCCUUGAACUCAAAUCAAGUUCAGACACUAAGCUGGUAGGUGUUACUCUGCCUUGCCUCGUGAAUUGCAACUAGGCACAGAAAUCGAGGGGGAGGGAAAAGGUGUGGCAUUUACCAAACAGCCCAGUUGAUUACUGUGGGAGAACCAAGUUUAAAAAUGCUUCUUGGCCAUACUUAAAGACAGGAACUUGAAACCACAUCUCCCACCUCCUGUGGACAUAGUCCACUGCUUCCCUCACACAGACAUACACUUUAAAUCUGUCAAGCAUUCAGAGUUCCCUGUCUGUUUGAAAAGCCCCUCUUCUAAUAAAAAGCCAAAUAUUCAUUAUCAUGGAAUUUCAAACUGCUUACCUGACCCCUUCCUGUUUACAGCUUCCCCAAAACAUCAGAAAGCUCAGCCAUUCUGCUCACUGUGCCAGAGAAAAUUUACAAAGUCAGAAAAGGCAUUUGGCACAUCCACUGUUGCAACACAGCAGAGGGCUGGUGCUGGGCAAGAGAUUCAGGUUAUGUUCUUAACCACACGGUGGGAUUUUAGAGCACAUCCCUCACAAGCACAGUCUCAUCACAGAAUCACUUACCAGUGUGAAGAAAGGAUCAAGCUGGCUUUAGGCUCCUAAAUUCAGGAAGGGCCUUAUACUUGAGAAUCCUAAAUGGACACAUUGCUGUACAGAAUUAGUAUUUAAAGUAUAUUCUUCUCCAUCCCUUCUUCCAAGGCAUUUCUUAAUAGGCAAUGCAGAGAGUUGCACGCUUAUCGUGUUAGCUCCUGUCCCAUGGCAUGGCAGAAGACUGCAGCACUCCCAACACGGGACUGGAACACUGUUCAGUUGUACACUGCAACAAAAAACUCCCUUUGUACAUCUAACUACAAAUCACCACGUUCAUGGGGAAAAAAGUUGCAACCUGAACUUUUAACGGACAUUCUAGAAGAUUAUAGCCUUGCAAUUAAUAAGGUAAAGAUGACCAGUGUAUCAACUUCUUAAUAAACAAUGCUUGUGAAUUAGGAGGCACCACCACAACAUGAGUAAAGCCUAGCCAUUUACCAUUCAUGCUGGGCACACCUGCACCUACGCUAACUGGGGAUUACUUUCAGGCUAGGCAAUAUGCUAAUUAUCCUGUUCAUCUCGCUAAUCAAAAAAUUGCAGCCUGCCAACUCAGCAAGGUAGUGUCCUAUUUUGUUUCUGUUUCACAGAACAUACUCAAGAAGAUGCACACUACUUGAUUUUAAUGGAAGUAAAGGGAGGAAAAGGCAGUGCAGUUCUACACUGCAUAUAGAACAAUGGUGGAAAUGAUCCUCAGUCUUUGGGUUUGAGGGAGAUUGGAUUCUUGUCUCUAAAUCCAUUUUCAGAGGCACAGAAGAAAAAGUAGUAGUUGUUCACCUGACAAAAAAAAAGCCAACUGCCUUUAUUUGGCAAACAGCUUAUGAGAUAUCAGAGAAUUAAAAAAAAAAAAAAAGUACAUCACAACAAAGAUUGCAAACCCUGGAUCUCAGCGUGUAUUUACAGGGUAUAACCUUUAUGUACACAGGCUUCAGUUACAUAGACUACAGGCACAUGAAAUAUAAUAGUCAAAGCUAUAGCUGCAGAGUAUUAGAUAACUGGAACAGCGAUACCUGUGGGAUCAAGGACAACGAGAUUACCUAGCCUGAUCUACUGCCUAAGACGGGAGUUCAGGUCUUGCCACUUGAACUCGUUUGAAUUCAACCAUCUCUUGCUAAUGCAGCUUUUAAUAAGGCUACUGAAGCCUAAACUUGCAUUAUUUCUUUGCUGUCAAGAAACUGUCUUACUUGCAUUAAGAAUGUACCAAACUUCUAACUACUCCAUCUCAUACAUUUCUCUUGGAGGUUGACAUAGCUUAUUAGCCAGUUUGUGGUCCCUAGCUGAUUAAUUUAGCCUGAUCAAGUUAUCCUAUGAGAUAAUCUAAAGCUAGGUUGUUCUAUUAGACUCUAUGAAACAUUGAAUGGAAUUCACAGAUCCAUAGGAGCACAGAAGCCAAAAUAAUACCAGGUGAAGUACAAAGUUCAUUUGCAAAGCAGAGAGUAAUUAAUCUCCUAUUCCCUAACAGCAUCAGGGAUAAGCGGAAGUCAGUUCCAUACCAGCUUGUUGUAUUUCACCCUACUGCAAGUUCACAGUUGAUGAAGUACUGAAAAAAUGACAUGCUGACUUGUAUUAGUCUCUGCUCUCACAAGGGGGUGGCACAAGAAAAUACCAAGAGCACCGUCCUGUGGAGCAUACUGCUCCCUCACUGUCAUCUGCUUCAUAUAAAAAGUAAUGAAGGACAUGCACAGCCUAAGAACCUCACAUAGCCAAAUUAAGUUGGCUGAGACUUUACUCUUAAAAAAAAAAAAAUUUUUUUUUUUUCUUGUAUCAAUGCUUGAUCAGUACUUCCUACCUAUGCAUGACAGGUCUUGCUGCUAUUAUUAACAUUUCCUCAUUUGUUUUUCUGAAAGUUUACAUUACAUUGCAUAUAUCAGCAAUAACACAUUAUUCGGUGGCAGUUUGGGGAGCUCCCUGGAGGAUGGAACAAUGCUGAAAUUUCAACUAAGUUAGGAAGUAACACUGAGACCGCUAUGGCAGCGUCCCAGAAACCAAUGUACAGAUCGUAUGUGCGUGGCAUGGGGCAAAGACAGAACCCUGUUCAUCUCUCCCUCAUCCACUGAAGUCUCCCAGAUGACAGAUGAAGCUGCACCCAGCCACAAUGCAAGCCGUAAUAUAACGUCCCCCUCUUCCAGACCUCCCUCUACAAAUCUCAGCAACACAGACCACUACUCCAAGACAAAUCUCAUAAUGGCAGUUUCUACAUUACCACUAGAAUUAGCUGUGCUAAUUAAAACUGCCUUCGCCAAGAAGAACCAGGUUCUUUACAACUGUUUUUCCUUUAUCCCUAGCUAGGUGAGGUAAAGAAAGCAGGAUCUACACUGCAUGAGGACACCAUCAACUAUGGCCUACCACUGGCAUGUCCUUCCUCGUCAACAAAGUGCUGCACAAGUUCAUGAAAUCCGCUUAAAUUUAAGUUCCUCUGAACAUACCCCUAGAUAUAUCAGCAUGCUACAGAUCCCACAAAACUGCAUCCCCUGGAUUACAUGGUGGUCACAGGGAAUCACUGGAAAUUCAUUCUAUGUGAGUCUCUAUUUUCCCAUUUAUUACUUGUGAAAUUACUUAGAAAUUUAAGGUAAAAAUAAUUCUUUCACUGAGGGAAACUGCUUAUGAAUGCAAGUUAUACAGAACUACAUCCAUGCUGUGUUCUAUUGCCUGAUUUUUGGACUGGCAGGUAGUUAGCGCUGAAUCUGGCAUUGAACAUGUCUAGAAGAAAUAUGCCUGGGCAGCCCUGACUCACACCUACAAGACCCUAAAGCAACAGCAGGUUCUUUCACUGGCUAAAGGAAAGAGUUAAUGGCAGUAAUUCUACACAAAAGCAUAGACUGUGCUUGAACAGUGCCAAUGAACUACACAAUAAAAGAGAAAUGCUCCAUCUCUCCAAAAGAGGUUGUAAGAGUUUUUGGCUGGAGAGAAGAAUCUGACCACCUCUGCCCCAGCUCUGGAACUGCCUUCGGGCCGCAGCAAGAGCUGGAAACCGCUGUUGCCACCUCGUGGGCUCCAUGCUGACUGCUACAGGAUACACACUUCCAGCCACUUCCCGAGAGCAGACAAGCGCUAGUGCCUGGAAGAGCAGAGACUCUCAAGCCAGCAUGCUGAAGAUGUCCAUCUACAACUGAGGAUUCCUCCAGCAGAAAGCCUCCAGGAAGGGACCGAAGUAAUCUAAUAAAAUCAAGAGUGGAAGCUGUGCGUAAGCAGAGACAGCCAGCUGACAUGAUGCACUUAACUGGGUUGCAAAACCAUCUUUUCGAGAGCAAAGAGCGUAAGAUCUUUUCCUUAGAAAUGGUAUCAGCGGCCCAUUUUGGGAAGAAAGCAAGAAGUACUAUUAUAGGACUGAAUCGCUUGCCUUCAGCACAAGCAGAAGACAUUAAAAUUACUUUCCCAGCAUUUCUCCAAGGAUGUACAGCAAUUUGCCUGAGGACUCAGCUUGCCUUUCUCACUAGACUGGCCACCGGUGAUGCCUGACUCGAAGGUGUUGAUUAACCAGCUCUCUCCUUUCUCCCUUUCUCAAAAAUGGGAGAACUUUUCCAUGCCAAAUGGAAGACUUUUAACCACAGACUUCACAGGAACUAUUGCUUCCAUUUUCAGCACCUAAGUCGUAAAAAGCACAGACAGCUAGAGGGAGGGAGCACUGUUGCAAUUCAGCAGCUGUGCAAACGCAGUCUGGGAAUUUUGCUGUUACAACACUCCCUCAAGUUGCACUUUCUUCAUAGUUCAUCCAAACUACACCUCCAACCAGAUCAGAAAGCAAAAUAAAACAGCCUACAAAACAUCAUCAAGCUUAGCAAAAAAUCAAUGGCUUGAGAUCAAAAUACCUAAACCCCACCUUUAACACAAAACUCCAAAUACUCAGAAGCUUUUUAGUCCUGCUGUUUAAUGCACUAGAUAUAACAACUUAUUUAAAAAAAAAAAAAAAAA